GAUGAACGCUGGCGGCGUGCCUAAUACAUGCAAGUCGAGCGAACGGACGAGAAGCUUGCUUCUCUGAUGUUAGCGGCGGACGGGUGAGUAACACGUGGAUAACCUACCUAUAAGACUGGGAUAACUUCGGGAAACCGUAGCUAAUACCGGAUAAUAUUUUGAACCGCAUGGUUCAAAAGUGAAAGACGGUCUUGCUGUCACUUAUAGAUGGAUCCGCGCUGCGUUAGCUAGUUGGUAAGGUAACGGCUUACCAAGGCAACGAUGCAUAGCCGACCUGAGAGGGGGAUCGGCCACCCUGGAACUGAGACACGGUCCAGACUCCUACGGGAGGCAGCAGUAGGGAACCUUACGCAGUGGGCGAAAGCCUGACGGAGCAACGACGCGCGAGUGAUGAAGGUCUUCGGAGCGUAAAAAUCUGUUAUUAGGGAAGAACAUAUGUGUAAGUAACUGUGCACAUCUUGACGGUACCUAAACAGAAAGCCACGGCUAACUACGUG
rnacentral:rRNA from 1 species